GGAUGUGGCUCUGGAGAAACCCGGCAGAGCCGGGUACCGAAGGUGCAAGGCGGAAUACCGCUGAAUCUCUCAGGUAAAAGGACAGAGCGGACGUU
rnacentral:ncRNA from 2 species